GCCUCAGUAAACCUCCCGACGAACCCAAUUCUUCGAGCUGUCCGCCAUCUCCUCGCUCUCCAAAGCUCUGCUCUCUCUGGCCGCAGUUCGCCAUGGCUGCGUCUCUCCAGAGCUUCGCCACCCUCGGACACCCUGGCACUAACCCUAGCCUCUAUGGCAUCAGGGUGCCGCAGGCUUUCUGCCGCCUUUCUUGCUCGCCCUUCUUCCACCUCGAAGUCGUUCCUCCCCGCGGGUUGGGUCUGGCUCCAUCCUCCCUCUUGAAAAGAAGCCCCGGCCCCGGGUUUCGUCUCGUCGCGGUGGAACGACGGGCCACGAGGCCCGUCCCCUUCGCUGCUUCGCAUGAGGAAUCGGACCAAUCAGAUAUUCAAGCGGAGGGGGAAGGUAAAACUGAAAUAAAGAUGGAGAUUUCACAGGAAACAUGGAAGCAGUUAUUAGAAUAUGCUAAAGCAGAAGCCAUGAAAAUGAAAGCCACCUCCAAAGAAGCAUAUGAAGUGUACUCCAAGAAAGCAAUGGAGACAUUGCUUGAAGCAUCUGAGAAGCUGAAGAUUCAGGCAGAAAAAGCACAGCAUGAUUUGAGUAUAAUAGCAAAAGAACUCAGUAAGGAAGGAAAAGAAUAUCUUAAUACAACAGCAAAAAAUUAUCCUGAUUCAGUUAAGGAUAUUCUGGAAACUUUCAUAUCAUUAAGUGAAUUGAAGAACAUAUCUGAGAUCCGAGAUUACCACAUUGGCAUUCCUUAUGGAACCUUUCUUGCCAUUGGAGGCUUUCUCCAUUUCAUGGUGACUGGAAGCAUUCCUGCUAUUCGGUUUGGUAUCAUUCUUGGUACUGCACUUUUGGCUCUCGGUAUAUCAAGUCUGAGAUCAUGGAAGAGUGGACAACCAUCUGCACUAAAUUUGAAAGGGCAAGCUGCAAUUGUGUCGAUUAUCAGCAUAAAUGAGUGGUUGUUGUUCUGUCAGAGGAGAUCAUUGCCAUCUCGUUUAAUGAUCAUCAUCAGUGGAGCAAUGGUAGCUUCCUAUGUUUACUGGAUCUUAAUGGACAGUCGCUAUAAAGGUACAGCCACAGAAGAAAGAUCAGAGAAUUAAUGGUCUGGGUAGAGGAAUAAAUAGGUCAAUUUCAGUGUUCAGCAGCAGGAAGAGCAUAAAAAGCUGGAUUCUGAUGGUCUGUAGAAUUUGCUUUCUGUGUGAGAGGAUCUCCCAUCCUUGAAUCAAGAAGAACUUCUCUCCUUUUCUUCUUAGGCAUGUAAUGUAACUCCAGUAAUUCCACAGAUUUCCCUAGAAUUUUGAUCUUCAUGGAAAAUAGCCCACAUAGCACCUUCCAUUUGUCCAAUUGUCAGGUGCUGUUAUAGGGCCAAUCGUGUGUAACUCGAUGCGCCAGGCACCAUUUCGAGGAACAUAUCUUUGGCAAAUUUAAUCAGGUCAGUUCCUUGUAUGCUAUUCUCGUA